rnacentral:rRNA from 1 species
UGGGGAAUAUUGGACAAUGGAGGCAACUCUGAUCCAGCAAUUCUGUGUGUGUGAAGAAGGUUUUAGGACUGUAACACUUUUAGUAGGGAAGAAAGAAAUGACGGUACCUACAGAAGAAGCGACGGCUAAAUACGUGCCAGCAGCCGCGGUAAUACGUAUGUCGCGAGCGUUAUCCGGAAUUAUUGGGCUUAAAGGGCAUCUAGGCGGUUAAACAAGUUGAAGGUGAAAACCUGUGGCUCAACCAUAGGCUUGCCUACAAAACUGUUGAACUAGAGUACUGGAAAGGUGGGUGGAACUACACGAGUAGAGGUGAAAUUCGUAGAUAUGUGUAGGAAUGCCGAUGAUGAAGAUAACUCACUGGACAGAAACUGACGCUGAAGUGCGAAAGCUAGGGGAGCAAACAGG